CAGAUAGGGACAAUUCAUCCUCUCCUCCAGCGUCCCGCCGACGAGACCAGUGGAACUUGGAAGCAGUCUAAAUAGCCGCACGAAGUGGCCCAGACCCGGCGUCCUCACCGCGACUUCACCGAGCGCCGGCCGCCGCCGUUUCAUCCAGGCGAAAUCCAAGGAGGCGCGUCGCAUCAUGGGAGACUCCGCCAGGCCUCCACCGACGAGCGCGACGAGGACCGUCAUGGGGAGGGCGGCGCGCAGCCGUCGAAUCCGCCACCUCGCCGCCAAGCGAGCAUGAGUCGUGAGGAAGAGGCGCGUCACGGUGAGGACUCCGCCACGCCGCCGUCGACUCUACCACGCCGCCGUCGACGGGCUCGAGGAGGAGGCGCGACACGGGGAGGGCUGCACAAGGCCACCGUCGACUCCGCUGAGCCGUGAAGAGCAGCGGUCGUUCUUCGCGUGCGCCGAGGCGGGCGGCAAGAUCUACGUCGAGACGGCGGCGGCGUCUGCAGCAGUGGCCUCCUCCCUCUUGCCCCUCUCGGAUCCGCGACGGACAGGUCAAGGUAGCCCGUGCGACCUCGCCUCCCAAUCGCGUGGCUGGCCGCUCUACCUCACCCCGGUGGCCUUCCUCCCUUAUCUUUCAAAUUUCCGUGCCAGAUCGAGAUGCGAAAUCUCCCGUCACUGCCCAUUCUUCAUGGUUAUUGGAUGAUGUCCUGAUUGAGUUAGGAUGAACUAAGAUGAUGCAAUUUGUAGUGGGGAGACUACUUUGCUUCUUCUUUUCACGUUAGUGUUUUGGUCCAUCACCUGUGUUCGUUUUCCCGUUUCAAUCGAGCGUCCACUGGUGCCUGCUCAGGCUAGGAAAGAAAAGAUGCAUUUCGUUGGUCGAGGAUGUGUCAUCCUAGAGCUAUCAAUGGAAAAUUCUGGAAAGCUUGCAUUGCAUAUAUCUGGGAAUACAUGGACAAGACACGACAGAAUAUAUAUGAGCUGAACUUUAUUGUUGUAGACCAUGAGAUUCGGCUCGGGUCUGUUAGGUAUAGCACUGUUUUAUCUCGGCGUGGUGCACUCUUCCCGUUGAGAGAAGUAUUAUAAAUAUUGGCAAGUCUGAGUAAAGAUCUAAUGCUCUUCAAGCUACACACCCAUGAAUACACAUUUGCCUGCCCAUCCAUGGCUACUGUUACUCUGUGGGGAUAGCGUGUCGAGACUUUGAUGCAGAAAGCAUUCAUCAGGUUUUUUCUCAAGAUAGUAUAGUUGUGUUGUCCGUAGGAUAGACUGUUGCCCAGUUCUCUGAUAUCUGAAGUUUAGGACAACAUUUAGCUUACUACUCACAUAUAAGCUAAUCACUAAAAAUGUUGCAGGGAUGCUAGCUUUUAAGAGUAACUCUCUUACCCUUUGGUAGAUUAACAUGGCAGUUCCUGAAAUGGAUACUGUGCGCAAUGGGUAAACUAGAUUAUACACUACGGCCUAGCUGCUUGAGAACAAAGUAUCGAACUUAAUUUACAUAUAAUGAUUUGUUGCAGCAUUAAAUGACAACAUUGUAUCAUAGACUGUAAGAGAAGAAGUACAAAGAGCGAACAAGUUGAAACAACACUCAACAGCCACUCGCUUCAGUUUAGGUAGCACUAUGGUUAGAUUGUAUGUACUGUGUAUGAUUUGGUUUCAUCUUGCUCCACAGCCAGAUAUUUCUUUUUUUCCUUACUUCCUGUUGUUGUAAUCAAUGUACUAGGAACUAUUACAUUGUUUAUUUGUAAAUUUGUAAAUUGUUGCAGUAUUCACUUGAAUUACUUUGUUUCAGAUGUUAAAUUUAUUGCAAUAAAUGUUAGAAAUUAUCUUCUCUUUUCUUGCUUCUCUUCUUUGAUCCUUGUGUCCAGGCAGACCAGGAACUGGUACUACCUUCUACGGGCAUACUGCAAGGUACGAAGUUUAAUGCUUAAAUCUUAUUUUUGUUUUAGCUUCAUUCUUGGGACCCUUCUGCGCCUUUAUGACUGCUAUUCUUUGGAGCUUUUGCUAUUUUGGUAUGGUCCACUCUGUGCGUGGGUUUCAGUAACUACACCUUUGACAAACUAUUUAGAUAGCACCUCAGACAUGUUUUUCGACGUGUCCAAAAUUCUGAUCAUUUCAGGCAUAUGAUUCAAUUUUUGUUUCAUAAGUGGAUACUUCGCACACAUGAUAUGUUUUAAAAUUCUAUGAUCAUUGGGUCAUUGGGUAAGCAUUCCUGUUAUUAGCUUUCUGCUAAAGUUGCAAUUUCUAUGAACUCAAUCAAAUUUGCACAGGUAGUCAUGAAUAAAGGCGGUUACAUAGAGUGUAUGUAGAAAUGCACCACUGGUGCAAAAUAAAUACACAUUGCCGGAACCAUCAGUACAUUCUAAAAAUCUAACAGAGUAGGCAAUUUCUAUAUGUGACCAGGUCUUGUGCCAAUGCUUAUUCCUAUGUGUUAUACAAUGACAAUGAUCAUUGGCUUAUAAUUUACCGAAAAACUUUGCAUGUGCACUUAUUGCAUUUAGAGCAGACAGAUUGAGGUUAUAAACUGGUCUAUAAAUCAUGAAACAACACCACAUUCUUUGUUCAUACUUCAUACUUCCCAAAUUGUACAGAAUACAGAAGAAGCACAAAGUGAGCCAUGUAAUCAGAAAACUGAUACAAACACAUGGAGAGGUCACCACAGAGAAUAAGAGAAACUACCUAAUUGGUUAGAGAAUAAUUUAGACUCAGAUUCAGUUUUACCGCUCACAUACAUAUUUCUUGUAGGCAUAUGAACUAUAGAUCCUACGAAGUUCACAAAAAUAUUGGUUUAUCCUAAAGUUACACUGAUAGUUACAACUUUUCAAAACAAGUUCACAAAACUGUUGCUUAUUAUGAGGUUACAGGUUCUAUACCAAAUGGUUGAUUCCGAUUAAUAUCACAGUAAUCGGUAUAGCCUGAAGUUACACUAAUCAAUCUUAAGAGUACUAUAUGCUCAGUUGAUAUUCAGAUAAUCUGCAUAUAUUUUCAUUUUCUAGCUUGACUAUACUGGUGCAUAUCUCAGCCAAGUGAAUCGAAAAUAUAAAACUGUGUGUGCGCUUCCAACUUCAGUUACUCCACCAUGAAGUUGAGGCCCUUAUUCUUGGCUAGAUGUAGAAAUUGAAGCUGGCCUUUUGAGAAAGGCUUUAUUCAGUUAUACGAUCCAGGGAUUCAGGUACAUAUCAAGGGAAAAUCUGAAGCUAUAACAUUUAGUAGGGCUCAGGUAUGAUGCAAGUGCUUACGUAAUUUGUAAUCUUCUUUUACUACAUGGAUAGUAUUUCAACCUUUGUUACAUCUCUGUGCACUAGAUGUUGGCUCUUCAUCUUGAAGCUCUAUGGUUGUCUGAUAAAUAUUUGUAAGCUGCAUCCUUUGUAGAUGGGUAGUUAGUAAGACCAAACUGUUAGCAAGUGUGAUUUAAACAUUCUUUAUAUGAUCACAUAAAAAGGAAAUUUAAAUGGGUAGUUAGUACACUUGUAAGACCCAGCUGUUAAUAAGAUAUUAUUUUGUUUUGUAGUGUGCAUGUUUGGAUUAAGAUCUGGAUUAUUUCUCCGGCUUGAAAACUAUAGAAUGUUGGUUCAAGCGUCAAUACCCACCCUUUGAUCCCGCCGCCUCCCCUCGAUCUGCGAGUGGCAAGCUUGAGUUCCCGACGUCUGGUCGGCUCUAGGGACCCUGCAGCAUCAGAGAGCUUUCUCGCCGCGAACUGCCUGCGGAUCAGGCAUCCCUCCUAAGGUUUUUUUGCAACUGGACAAUGCAUCAUUAUGAUUGUUCUCAACCCAGUUAGCCGAUUCAUGUGUUGUCUAUUGUCCAAGCCCAUGUUAGCAUGGCACCAAAGGUUCAAUUUUGUACGACCUUGGAGUUGUGGUAGUUUUGCUAUGGGCUAUAGCACUUGAGCAAUGCUCCUAUGAAGUUUUUGCGCAGUAAUACAAUAUGGACUUUGUGAAAUUUUGUUCAAUGA